rnacentral:misc_RNA from 1 species
GAUAAGAACGCAGCGAAACGCGAUAUGUAAUGUGAAUUGCAGAAUUCAGUGAAUCAUCGAAUCUUUGAACGCACAUGGCGCCUUCCAGUAUCCUGGGAGGCAUGCCUGUCCGAGCGUCGUUUCAACCCUCGAGCCCUCGUGGCCCGGCGUUGGGGAUCUGCCACGGCAGGCCCCGAAAUACAGUGGCGGACCCGUUAGGCCCUUCCUUUGCGUAGUAGCAUCAGCCUCGCAUCGGGAGCCGGCGGGCUCUCCUGCCUCUAAACCCCCCAACAAGCCCGCUCCGGCGGCACCAAGGUUGACCUCGGAUCAGGUAGGAAUACCCGCUGAACUUAAGCAUAUCAAUAAGCGGAGGA